GUUUUAAUAAUUUAGCAAAAAUAUUGGUCUUGUAAACCAAAAACAAGGUAUAUACCUUUUAAAACU
rnacentral:tRNA from 1 species